CGGCACGGGUGAGUAACACGUACCCAACCUGCCGUCUACUCUUGGACAGCCUUCUGAAAGGAAGAUUAAUACAAGAUGGCAUCAUGAGUCCACAUGUUCACAUGAUUAAAGGUAUUCCGGUAGACGAUGGGGAUGCGUUCCAUUAGAUAGUAGGCGGGGUAACGGCCCACCUAGUCUUCGAUGGAUAGGGGUUCUGAGAGGAAGGUCCCCCACAUUGGAACUGAGACACGGUCCAA
rnacentral:rRNA from 1 species